GAUUCUGGCUCAGGAUGAACGCUGGCGGCGUGCCUAACACAUGCAAGUCGAACGAAGCAGUCUCUCCGGAAGACUGACUGAGUGGCGGACGGGUGAGUAACGCGUGGGUAACCUGCCCUGUACAGGGGGAUAACAGUCAGAAAUGACUGCUAAUACCGCAUAAGCGCACGGGAAGACAUCUUUCUGUGUGAAAAACUCCGGUGGUACAGGAUGGGCCCGCGUCUGAUUAGCUUGUUGGCGGGUAAGGGCCCACCAAGGCGACGAUCAGUAGCCGGUCUGAGAGGAUGAACGGCCACAUUGGAACUGAGACACGGUCCAAACUCCUACGGGAGGCAGCAGUGGGGAAUAUUGGUCAAUGGACGAGAGUCUGAACCAGCCAAGUAGCCGUGCAGGACGACGGCCCUAUGGGUUGUAAACUGCUUUUAUGCGGGGAUAAAGUUCACUACGUGUAGUGUUUUGUAGGUACCGCAUGAAUAAGGACCGGCUAAUUCCGUGCCAGCCGCGGC
rnacentral:rRNA from 1 species